rnacentral:rRNA from 1 species
GACACGGCCCAAACUCCUACGGGAGGCAGCAGUGGGGAAUAUUGGACAAUGGGGGGAACCCUGAUCCAGCGACGCCGCGUGAGUGAAGAUAGUAUUUCGCUCCCCCCAGCUCUAUCAGCAGGGAAGAUAAAUGACGGUACCUGACUAAGAAGCCCCGGCUAACUACGUGCCAGCAGCCGCGGUAAUACGUAGGGGGCAAGCGUUAUCCGGAUUUACUGGGUGUAAAGGGAGCGUAGACGGUGCAGCAAGUCUGAUGUGAAAGGUCGGGGCCCAACCCCGGGACUGCAUUCGAAACUGUUGAACUGGAGUACAGGAGAGGUAAGCGGAAUUCCUAGUGUAGCGGUGAAAUGCGUAGAUAUU